rnacentral:rRNA from 1 species
CUACAGAACGAACGCUGGCGGCAGGCCUAACACAUGCAAGUCGAGCGGGGGAGCAAUCCCUAGCGGCGGACGGGUUAGUAACGCGUGGGAACAUACCCUUUGGUACGGAAUAGCCUCGGGAAACUGAGAGUAAUACCGUAUGUGCCCUUCGGGGGAAAGAUUUAUCGCCAAAGGAUUGGCCCGCGUUGGAUUAGGUAGUUGGUGGGGUAAUGGCCUACCAAGCCUACGAUCCAUAGCUGGUUUGAGAGGAUGAUCAGCAACACUGGGACUGAGACACGGCCCAGACUCCUACGGGAGGCAGCAGUGGGGGAAUCUUAGACAAUGGGCGCAAGCCUGAUCUAGCCAUGCCGCGUGAGCGAUGAAGGCCUUAGGGUUGUAAAGCUCUUUCAGAUGGGAAGAUAAUGACGGUACCAUCAGAAGAAGCCCCGGCUAACUCCGUG